UCUCGUCAUUAUUGAUUAAUAUGUCUAAGGUUUCAGCUAUUUUAAUUGCCGUGCACUUUUCUCUCCUCUUUAGUUUUUUCUCUCCGAUUAUGAUAAUAGGGACCGGACGGAACGCAAUAUAACGCACAAAUGAGAGCCAGAGGAGAAAUAGAAUGAAAGCUCGAAAAAUUGAUGGGACAAGGUGUCGAACUCUACUCUCGCCAGCCUUUAGCGUCAAACGUUAUCAUCCUUAAAUCUCUCAACGCAUCUCCACUGCCUAGUUAGUUAAAGGAAAAGUUAAACUUAAUUUUAAUUUAGUUUAUCGUCGCUGCUCUCUUGGCCGAUGCUGUCGCCGCUCCUUCCGGCUACCAAUCAACCCAUAGAGAUUCCAGUUACUUGACGUCUCCCAGCAACGCUUCUUCCGGCUACAACAAGGACAGCAAAUAUGGCGGAAUCACCAUCACCAGCCAACACGACGUCCGCAAUCUCGACGGAAGCUGCAAAUGAGG